UUCAAGUCGUCUGUAAAACAUCAAAAUUUAAAAAUUUCCAAAAUUUUCUAUAUUCAUUUUUUUGCUGCAAGUAAGAAUGACAAAAUUUUACCAUUAAAAUUAAUAUAUUAGUGUAUGUUGUUCGUAAUACGGCGGCUUCCUGUCGCUUCAGAUAAAUCCUCGGUCCCGAAAUAAGGAGGCGAUACAACGGAUAUGUAUAUAUAUAAAGAUAUGUGUACGUAUGUAGAAUCUACUGUUUAUGUUGACUCGCGUGUACCGGAAUGUACGGGGGUGGGUAGCAACCUGAGCUUAGCUUAGAGGCUGGCUUACAGAGCGAGAGCGAGCUCCGGCUGCUAAGUCUCUGCUGCUACUCUCAACAAACGUAAUUGAACACAUAGGUAUGUAAGGUAUGUAAGCAGGUAGCCAUACCAUACUGAAAUGUGCUGCCAAGUCCAUAAUUUUAGGCCACAAAAAUAAACAGUAAAUAUCAUACCUCCAUGAAAAAUACACUUUCGACCCAGGCAGAUCCCUUCUAAUGUUACAAAACGCAUCCAAAACUGAGACAGACCUAUCCCGAAGUCGGGAAAUUCUCUCCCCACUCAUUCAUUCAAGGCUAACAAGUUUCAAAUGCUUCGCUAACAAACAAAAAAGUAUGUUUUUUUAUGUCGAAGGGUAGCCACAAAUUUUCAUUCAUUUUUAUUUUUUUUAACAUCAUUAGCUUACUCUGCAGGAGUUCGGAAGCUUCAUUUAUAGAUGUGAAGCCGAAUUUUUUAUUCAGGAAUUUUAUUCAUUCUCUUCAAUAGUAUUUUUUCAAACACUUUAGAGAAGAUUGUCAACAUACUAAUGGGACGGUUCUAUUUUGUUUGGCUAAUUAUGAUCCUAAAUCAUAAUGAUCUCUGCACAUUUCCGUUGCCUUGGAAAGUGGCUUUUAGCUGGUUUCUUUAGGUAUUUAGUAGCCCUCCAUAGGUUGUAUUCAUUGUUGCUGGAAUUAGGGUCUAAGUUUCUCAGAUACGCAGCUAGAGAUUCAUUGCGUAAGUUCGACAGCAGUUGUCUAAGCUCAGAUGCAGCCUUGUUGUAUAAUCUUUUGUUAGCAGGGUAGUGAGUUUCUUGCCAGCGUCUUCGCAGGUUCCUUUUAGUUUGUAUUUUUUGUCGAAGUUCGGUUGAAAGGUACAAUUGGUUUGGGAAAUGUCCAGGCUUAUAGCUGAGUCUAAAUAGCUUUUAAAUGCGUUAAUGUCUGUAGAGGCUGUAAUGACUUUAUAGACCUUUUCCAACAUAUGGGCUAUUGUGCUGUAAGUUGCUAUUAUUGGAGAAUGAUCUGAGUUAAGGUCAAAGCUCUCCAUUACUCGCAUGUGUGACUGUGGGAUUCCAGAGAAUACUACGAAAUCAAUCAAAUCUGGAAUUUUUCGACCAUCAGUUGGCCAGUAUGUGGGCACACCAGUUGACAAAGUUGUUAUUNUAGCUAAUUAUGAUCCUAAAUCAUAAUGCUCUCUGCACAUUUCCGUUGCCUUGGAAAGUGGCUUUUAGCUGGUUUCUUUAGGUAUUUAGUAGCCCUCCAUAGGUUGUAUUCAUUGUUGCUGGAAUUAGGGUCUAAGUUUCUCAGAUACGCAGCUAGAGAUUCAUUGCGUAAGUUCGACAGCAGUUGUCUAAGCUCAGAUGCAGCCUUGUUGUAUAAUCUUUUGUUAGCAGGGUAGUGAGUUUCUUGCCAGCGUCUUCGCAGGUUCCUUUUAGUUUGUAUUUUUUGUCGAAGUUCGGUUGAAAGGUACAAUUGGUUUGGGAAAUGUCCAGGCUUAUAGCUGAGUCUAAAUAGCUUUUAAAUGCGUUAAUGUCUGUAGAGGCUGUAAUGACUUUAUAGACCUUUUCCAACAUAUGGGCUAUUGUGCUGUAAGUUGCUAUUAUUGGAGAAUGAUCUGAGUUAAGGUCAAAGCUCUCCAUUACUCGCAUGUGUGACUGUGGGAUUCCAGAGAAUACUACGAAAUCAAUCAAAUCUGGAAUUUUUCGACCAUCAGUUGGCCAGUAUGUGGGCACACCAGUUGACAAAGUUGUUAUGUUACUGUUUCGUACGCAUUUGUAUAAUUCGGAUCCCUUCGGGUUAGUCAAUCUGAUGGAUGGUCAGCUCCUCUUACUGUGUCGUAUCCAAUAACUCUAAAAAAAGAUUUGCUUGUGAAGUGUGUUUUUGAAAGAAGCAUGACGUCAAUGGCAAUCGUUUUUAAAAAUAAAGAUAUUUCAUUUCCAUGGUUGGAAAGCCCACUGGCAUUCCAUAUUACUAGUUUAGAUUUAUUUGCAUAGCUUAUUUACAAGUAACAUUAUCAUGUUAAGUAAAUUAUUGGUAAGUUGAGAUUGUUUUUCUAGAAGCUGUUCGAUUCUUUCUAGAGACUUGUUCGAGGUACUAACUUUGUAACUUUGUAUAUAUCUAAGUUCUUAUUGUUGGGCUCAAUUUCUAAGUAGAACAAAUUCAAUGACUCUUUGGUUACACGACUUUUAAUAUUACUUAUGUUCCUAACAGCGUGACCUUUGGACUCCACAUCUUGUUUGAUUAAGUCGAUAUCCGUUGAGAAGUGUGAAUUCUUAAUAACAACUCUGAAUGCCCUCUCAUGUUUAAGCUGGUAUGUGUGAAAUCUGACAAAAUCUUUAGUAAGAGUUUUAACAAGUUUUCUGUAUUCUUCAAUAGACUUUACCAUAACUCUCACAUGACCAUCGCGUUGUACUUUAUAAAAGAAAAGCUCUUUUUUUAUUUAAUUCUCGAGGUAAACUAGCAUUCCUUUUAUAUCACUGACUUCAGAUAAGAAUAUAGGUGACGGCUUGGCAGAUUCAUCUAAGGUACCUUCAGUUAUCAUGUGCAGUGCUUCGUUUUCGUCUUCAUUUCCGUUAUUUGGCGUGAAAGUUUUCCGCUUGUAAGCCGACUAGAAAGUACUUAUUAUGUGCUUCAAACUCAUUUCAAGCUAAAAAUACAAAUUAAUGGGAUGCCUUGGAAACUGCGCCAACUGUUUAUUCGACUGUUCCUGCUGCAAGUUCUCAAAAAUAAAUAUCAAGAAUAUACACAACACUGAAUGCUGCUUGGGUAAUGUUUUGCAUGAUUAUUUUAGUGCUUAAAUAAUGACAGACCCUUUAUAGGAUUUCGAAAGAGGCAUAGCAGCAUUUGCUAUUUAUUUUGUUUAUAAUUUGCGGCGAUAAUGCGGCUUCAGCUGAUUCUUCCUCCUCGUUGUGUGGCACCGUGCACCGACUGGCACUCACUCCAGAUUGUUGCUUAUUAAUGCUAAGAAGUAAAGAAUUUUACUAUUUAUGUCCGGUGCGUAUUGUUGUUAUUUAUUGUUAAAAUUAAUUUAUUUACUCCCAGCCUUCAGAUCAGUAUAAACCCAAAAAUUGAAUUGUUAUACUUAUUCCUUUGGAAAGGACGCGCGCCAGAAAGCGAGAUUUGAUUUACAAUUCAUGUAACUAAAUUAACGCAAAGUGCACCAUAAAUAGCACUUAAAUUCAAAACUUAAAACCCCUAGCUACCCGCUAUUUUUAUGCAUUUACAGGGUAUGCACGAGAGCAGGAAAAAUGAAUGUAUAAAUUGUUUUCAGGCCAAAAUUAAUUGAAACUUUAUUUGGAUUAUGAAAUUAGCACACGGCCAGUGGAGUUCUGCCC
rnacentral:lncRNA from 1 species